AAAAUCUAAAAAUGAAAAUUGUGCUUCUACAAUUUCUGAAAAAGGACCCGGCCCAAAUCCUAAUUGCUUAAGACAUAUAUAAUCUCCCCUAGGAUUUCCUAAUCCAUUUUGUUGUCUUCUUCUCCGUCGUUUAGGCUCAUUUCCAGGUGAAAAUGGCGUGCCUUCCCCUGAAUCCUCAAUUCAUUAUGCUUGUGCUUUGGAUCAUCAACACUCCGCCUUGGAUCCUCGAAGAUUAUACUGUCUUCAGCUCUCAAAAUUGAGUUCUCUGAUGGAUGGGAUGUUUCUUCUUUUUUGGUGUUGAUUUGAGGGUCAUAGGUCCUUGAGACUGAUUGCAUGUCCAAAUGUAGCCAGGAAGGAGAUAAUGGGAUGCUCGGACCCACAAACUUUUGACCUGCCUUCUGCUUCUCAGGUGUAUUAGUUGCCUAGAUAUCACUCGACCCUCCCUCUUUACCAAGAGUCCUUUUUGAUGUCUGAAUCUGUAUGGGCUAGUCAGUUGUUGGGUGUUGUUGCUUCCCACUUGGAUUGUAAAUAUUUGUUUGUGGCCUCUUAUAGUACUUUUAGUUGUAGCCUUCAGCCUUAUCAUCUUUUGUUGAUGAUAAUCUAAUGUAUGGACAUUGUGACUUGUCACUGUUAGGGAUCUUCAUUCCUUGAAUUUUCAAUUGCUGAAAUGUUGUUAUGCCGAAA